GUGUUCCCUUCAGCAGCAUAUAUACUAAAAUUGAAACCACACAGAGAUUACAUGGCCCCUGCAUGAGGAUGACACACAAAUUCAUGAAGUGUUCCACAUUAAA